UCCGGUUGAUCCUGCCGGAGAUCACUGCUAUUGGAAUUCGGCUAAGGCAUGCGAGUCGAGAGGGUUCGGCCCUCGGCAGACGGCUCAGUAACACGUGGAUAAUCUGCCCUUAGGUGGGGAAUAAUCUCGAGAAAUUGAGCAUAAUGUCCCAUAGCUUUAGAAUGCUGGAAUGCUUUUAAGGCCAAAGCCCCGGCGCCUAAGGAUGAGUCUGCGGCCUAUCAGGUUGUAGUGAGUGUAACGGACUCACUAGCCGACGACGGUUACGGGUCCUGGAAGGGAGUGCCCGGAGAUGGACUCUGAGACACGAGUCCAGGCCCUACGGGGCGCAGCAGCUACGAAAACUUCACAAUGCGGGAAACCGCGAUGAGGGAAUUCCAAGUGCUUAUACUUUGUAUAAGCUGUUUACUUGCCUAAAAAGCAGGUAGAGUAAGGGCUGGGUAAGACUGGUGCCAGCCGCCGCGGUAAUACCAGCAGCUCAAGUGGUGAUCGUUUUUAUUGGGCCUAAAGCGUCCGUAGCCUGUUUGGUAAACCCUUGGGUAAAUCGGGCAGCUUAACUGUCCGAAUUCUGAGGAGACUGCCAGACUUGGGACCGGGAGAGGUCAGAGGUACUCUUAGGGUAGGGGUGAAAUCCUGUAAUCCUAAGAGGACCACCAGUGGCGAAGGCGUCUGACUAGAACGGGUCUGACGGUAAGGGACGAAGCCCUGGGUCCCGAACCGGAUUAGAUACCCGGGUAGUCCAGGGUGUAAACGCUGCGGGCUUGGUGUUGGGGGUCCUACGAGGGCAUCCAGUGCCGGAGAGAAGUUGUUAAGCCCGCCGCCUGGGGAGUACGAUCGCAAGAUUGAAACUUAAGGGAAUUGGCGGGGGAGCACAGCAACGGGUGGAGCGUGCGGUUUAAUUGGAUUCAACGCCGGG
rnacentral:rRNA from 1 species